GUUUUAAUAGUUAAUUUAAAAAACUAAAACAUUGGUGUUUUAAUCCUAAACAUGGAACUUUUUUCUUAAAACU
rnacentral:tRNA from 1 species